UACGGAGGGUGCAAGCGUUAUCCGGAUUCACUGGUUAAAGGGUGCGUAGGCGGCCUUCUAAGUCAGACGUGAAAUCCCCCGGCUUAACCUGGGAACUGCGUCUGAUACUGGGAAGGCUUGAGUGCGGGAGAGGGAUGUGGAAUUCCAGGUGUAGCGGUGAAAUGCGUAGAUAUCUGGAGGAACACCGGUGGCGAAGGCGGCAUCCUGGACCGACACUGACGCUGAGGCGCGAAAGCUAGGGUAGCAAACGGG
rnacentral:rRNA from 1 species